AUACGAAGGUCCCAAGCGUUGUUCGGAUUUACUGGGCGUAAAGCGUGCGUAGGCGGCAAGGUAAGUCAGAUGUGAAAUCCCGGGGCUCAACCCCGGUACUGCAUCCGAUACUGCCUUGCUAGAGUAAUGGAGGGGCAUCUGGAAUUCAUGGUGUAGCAGUGAAAUGCGUAGAUAUCAUGAGGAACACUAGUGGCGAAGGCGAGAUGCUGGACAUUUACUGACGCUGAGGUACGAAGGCCAGGGUAGCGAAAAGAAUUAGAAACCCUUGUAGUCC
rnacentral:rRNA from 1 species